ensembl:lncRNA
CUCAACCUGGACAAAAAUGGCAGAGAAAACAGGGAGAUGAACAAUGCCAGCCUAUGCAGGGAAAACCUGAGGAUAAGCCCUGUGCUUUGGUGGGUACUGUAAUCUGCCUUUCAGAGACAAAGCGUGAACCUUCAAUCUUCAAGUAAAGCCACAGCCACGAUGAGAUGAAACGACUUGCCUAAUAUCAAUCUAGCUGCAUCAGAACUCACAGUCCUGGGUAAUGACUCAGCCAGAAGACCACCCUUCCUCUUGAACAGUAGCUGGAGGGCUAAAUGCGAGUAGCCUGGCAAAGGAGGGGAUAUGUUGUUCACACAGCUGAAGAUUUCUGGACAUCCUGCGGCUUUGCCACAAGCCACCCCCCUCCAUUCCUUGGCACAGGAUCUUUGUCAAAGCAGCUAAAGAGAAAUGCUUCUCUGGUGGUGUUCCCAGUGGCCCAUCUGCACGCUUCAGUGUUAACUUCCUGGUAGGUGCCUCCCUUUCAAACUGGAAUCCAAUUUACAAAGCCUUUAAUUUUAAACUUUCUCAUCACUGACUUAAUAAAACUAAAUGACAGGUAAUGGUCCCAGAAGCCAGGAGCUAUUAGAUCCUUCUCAACACUAAUAAGGGCUGAUCAGAUGCUCGUGCACUCCUUUUCCAGCUUUCCCAGCUCCCCAAGGACUCUGCCACUGGGCAAGAAACAGGAAACCAACCCUCUCACAGGCAAGUGAAGAAGGGCAAGGAAAGAAAGAAAGAAAGAAAGAAAGAAAGGAAAUCAGGAAAAAACAAUGUUAAUGUGAACACUUACAACUGGAAACGGGUAGCAGGAUCACCACGGAAAAUGCCUGCUCUCUCCCUGGAGUUCAUCUGGGGCCCACGUGCUCGCUCCAUUUCCCCACCAGGGCACUGGGGGCUCUCAGAGGCGCUACAGGCAUCGUGGCUACAUGGAGGCAUGUAGCAAACCGGCUCUGAUUUCUGCCCAAAGGCAUCAGUGUCAUACCGGUCGGGAUGUCAGCUUGGGAGAAUGUCAAGGCAGCAGUCACGGUGUGCUGUCACAAAGAGAAAUAGAUAUCAUUUCAAACACACAGCUCUGGAGAGAGGAGGGAGAGGCAGAAAAGAGAAUCCCAUCAUGCACUUUUAGUGGGGGGAAGAGAAGAGAAGGAGGCUUAACUCUGUUUUGGCCAUACCGGAGGAGGCAGAGGGAGAGGAUGUACCACAUCCUCACAGCCACCACGCCAAUAGGCUAGGAGGGCCAGGGGAUGCUCCAGAGCAGGCUUCAUUCUUAGCUGUUUUAUUCACUUUGUUUCCAAAGGAGCUGGAAUUGGCCUCUAUGGAUUAUUUCCUGCUUUAUGGGCAUCCUUGGCCAGCAGGAAGCUUUGGUCUCAGUGCAAAGGAGGUGGAUAGUGACAUGGUGGCAGUGAACGGCUCCACUGGUUUUCUCUCCUCUUCAACUUACACCUCCACAUGUUGGUGAUAAAGGAGUCUUAAACCCAACCUCCC